rnacentral:lncRNA from 1 species
UAUUGAAUGCUAAGAAAGAUUUAGCAACGUAUAUUGGUCCACAAGCAAUGUUGCCAAUGCUUCAGCACUCUGGCUAUAUUCAACAGCAUCCCAAUAAUAAUCCCUCUUCUUCUAAUAUGAUGGCUUAUAAUAUGCAGCCAAUGGGAUUGCAACAACAAUUAAUGAUGCGCGAUCCUCAACAACAACAACAACAACAGAAUCAGCAGCAAGUGAUUGAAGCUCAUCAAUUAGCCGCGGUAAUGGCUGCAAGGGAACAGGAGAUGAUGAGAACUUAUGAGCCACAACAAUUCAACAAUGGAUAUGAUUCUGCAGGUACUGUAACAGAUUUUGGUACAACAAAAGUUAUUUAUAUACAUAUUUUUCCAAGUGUUUUGAUGAAAUUUUGAAUACUAAUGAAUAGUUAUAAUAAUAGAGUAACCUGAUAUAAGUUGCUGGUGGGAGCUAAAUGCUAGUAAUAGAUAUUCCAUGGAAUUAGUAGAGAUGGAAAAGAUGGUCCGUACAUUAGGAUUAUAAAAAAAUUAAAACAGUUUAAAGAAAAUGACUUCCAUUUAGAAAACUGACAUUUUUUACUUCACACAAAAACACAUCUAUUAAUUAUAUGUGUUUUGAAGUCUUAUAUAUUUUGAGGAAUUUUUUAAUUCUAAAUCUUGAAUCCGUUUUUGUCUACAGGGCCAGUAACUGCAACAGGAUUUCAUCAAAUGAGUUCAUCAGUAUCUCCUUCAUUGGCAUUAGCCUCAUUUGAUAAUGAUCCUUAUCAGAUUCAACAAGCCCAGCAGGAGCAGCAUCGCGGCCAGGUUCAGGUUCAGGUUCAGCCACAUCAAUUGCUUCAGCAACAACAACAGCUACCGCAACAACCACAGACACCACAGCAGCAACAGAGAGCCAACAGUGAAGAGGAAAGGAGCAUUGGUCCUUCAUGUUAAUGUAACAAGUCAGUUGAAGAUUUUUUCUUUUAACAAAUAUUUUUAAUCUUGGUAAGUACCUUUCAAUGCUUUUCCUCCUUGUCUCUUUCAUAUUUUACAUAUGAGUUCAAAAAGUAUUAAUCCUUGAUAAUCUCUUUAUUACUAAUUAUCUUUACUUAAACUAAUACUUGCAUAAUUAAUGAUUAGGGUAGUUUUCCCAGUUAUACUAUGUACUUAAUUAGUAGUAUUAUAAUUUGCAGGUUACAAAAUCAGGCUUGUUAGAAGGUUACACUGUGUAUUAGAUCUUUUAGUGAUAGUGUAAAAUAUUUAACUCGUCCACUAUGAUUGUGUCAGUAAUUAUACAAUUUAUGCAUCUCUUAAUAGAUUGUCAAACACUAAAACAUGCUUUAAAAACCUAUAACCUAUGUGGCAACAUUAACAUUGGAAUAUUGUAGGUCCUUUCCUUAUAUUCAACUGGUUGAACUUUUUUUUUUUUUUUUAUAUUAGUUCUUACCUAAGCAAUUUGCCGGAGGUAAACAAAGUCAUUCAAUUUUUAGGUUGCUUGACCUCUAGUGACUCUUCUCAAUUAUAAGAGGUUUGGCACUAGCUCUCUUUUCUUUUAUUGCAAAGAAAAAAAAAGGAUUAUGUGGCUUGCACUCUUUCCUCUCUUUGAGUAAUUCACUUUCUUUGUUAAGCAAGACAUAUAGUUUUUUUCGUACAAGCAAUAUACUUGAAAAAGAGUUCUUUUUAUAGAAAAAAAUAAUAGCAUAUAAAAUUAAAUGACAAGGAUAAUAAAUUCAACUUUUAGCAUGAUAAGAUUGAAGAAUAUUAUUUAAGUGGAAGGAGGUGGGCCCCACUUAUAUAUGUACAAGUACUUUAAUGCAAUGGAAGGACCAACAUUGUACAAGUACUUUAAUGCAAUGUUGGUCCUUUCCAACUCUCACUUCUAAAUAAGAAAAGAAAAGAAAACUUUUAGAAACAUCUAGAUAAAAUUUAAAUUUAAAAAAUAAAGUGUAUUUGAAUACAAAUAUUCGAUGAAACAUGGGUAAAAUGAGCCAAUGAAGAGAGAUAAUAUAAAGAGUCAUAUCUUUGAAUGUACAUAAUAUUUUUCAUGAUUAUAAUAUUGAAUUUAAGGUUUUAUUUUCUGCAGGUUAAGGACAUGAGUGGCCCUAUAUAUAAAAUCUAUAACCGGCCUAUAUUCGUAUCUGGGGCAUGCACAUAAUAAUCAACUUGUUAUUAGCUUUAAAUUAAAGUUGAAAAUUGCAUGGUAGGAACUUCUUGUUGGCCCAUAUCUCUUCAGUAUCAGCAAUCAACAGCCUUUUGAUAAGGGUCGGAGUCAGAAUUUUUUCUAAGAUCAUAAUUUAGUAUAUAAAAAAGUAAAUACGUGAAGAGGUCAAAAAGAGAUUCAACAUAUAUAUAUAUAUAUAUAUAUAUAUAUAUAUAUAUAUAUAUUUCCAGUGAAGUAUAUUUCAAACAUUAUUGAUAAUAUUUUCAAAUUACCAAGUGUUUUGAUGAAAUUUUGGAUACUAAUGGUUAGUUAUAAUAAUGUGCAUGCAAGUGUUACUGCAGGAUCAUGUAAUAUAAAGUUAAAAAUUAAGACAGUUUAGAUGUAUUGUCCUUGGUUGGAUAGUGUAACCUGAUAUCUAUUGCUAGUGGGAGCUAAUAGAUAUUUCAUGGAAUUAGUAGAGAUGGGAAAGCGGCCUGGACACUAGGAUCAUAAAAAAAUUAGAACAGUUUAAAGAAAAUCACUUUCAUUUAGAAAACAGACAUUUUUUAGCUCACACAAAAACACAUCUAUUAAUAUGUGUUUUGAACUCUUAUUUUAAGGAAUUUAGAAUUUAUUAAUUUUAAAUCUUGAAUCCGUCUCUGUCAACAGGCCAGUAACCACAAUAGGAUUUCAUCAAAUGAGUUCAUCAGUAUCACCUUCAGUGGCAUUGGCCUCAUUUGAUAAUGAUCCUUAUCAGAUUCAGCAAGCCCAGCAGGAGCAGCAUCGCGGCCAGGUUCAGCCACAUCAAUUGCUUCAGCAACAGCAACAGCUACCGCAACAACCACAGACACCACAACAGCAACAGAGAGCCAACAGUGAAGAGGAAAGGGGCAUUGGUCCUUCAUGUUAAUGUUACAAGUCAGUUGAAGAUUUUUUUCUUCUAGCAAUUUUUUUUUUUAAAUCUUGGUAAGUACCUUUCAAUGCUUUUCCUUCUUGUCUCUUUCAUAUUUUACAUAUGAGUUCAAAAAGUAUUAAUCCGUGAUAACUCUUUAUUACUAAUCUUCACUUAACUAAUACUACUUGCAUAAUUAAUGAUAUUGUUGUUUUACAGCAAUUGCAUAAUUAAUGAUAUUGUUGUUUUACAGCAAUGCCAAACAGGCUCUUAGUCUUGUUUUACAGCAAUUGCAUAAUUAAUGAUAUUGUUGUUUUACAGCAAUUGCAUAAUUAAUGAUAUUGUUGUUUUACAGCAAUUGCAUAAUUAAUGAUAUUGUUGUUUUACAGCAAUUGCAUAAUUAAUGAUAUUGUUGUUUUACAGCAAUUGCAUAAUUAAUGAUAUUGUUGUUUUACAGCAAUUGCAUAAUUAAUGAUAUUGUUGUUUUACAGCAAUUGCAUAAUUAAUGAUAUUGUUGUUUUACAGCAAUUGCAUAAUUAAUGAUAUUGUUGUUUUACAGCAAUUGCAUAAUUAAUGAUAUUGUUGUUUUACAGCAAUUGCAUAAUUAAUGAUAUUGUUGUUUUACAGCAAUUGCAUAAUUAAUGAUAUUGUUGUUUUACAGCAAUUGCAUAAUUAAUGAUAUUGUUGUUUUACAGCAAUUGCAUAAUUAAUGAUAUUGUUGUUUUACAGCAAUUGCAUAAUUAAUGAUAUUGUUGUUUUACAGCAAUUGCAUAAUUAAUGAUAUUGUUGUUUUACAGCAAUGCCAAACAGGCUCUUAGUCGAAAUACUUUUAAUAAUAUUCCACAUUGUGGUAACUAAUUAUGUUUACCCAAGAUCUUCUGAGUGCUGAUCUUGGACCUAGUCAUAUAUUCUAAUGUAAUAAUGUAAAUUUAUUCUAAAACAUACUUGGUCCAAUAUUGACCUGAAUCAUUAAGAUUAUUAAUCAAAUUUAAACUAGUAAAUGUCAAAUUUGCUGUUAACAGGGAUUAAUAUUAUAAUUUAGAAUUCAAAUAAGAUUGUGUACAUUUUAGAAGUUUGACAAACAUGCUAAUGCCUAAUGGUUUGAAUUAAUUUAGAAUUGUUUUAAAAAAAAAAAAAAUAUUAAAUUUAUGAUAUUAAACGUGUUGCUAUAAUAGCUUGUUGUUAAAGAUAAAAUAACAAAUUUAAUUGCAAAAUUAUUUCCAACCACAUAAAUGUUUCAUCAUUUUAUAACGGAUCGAAAAUUUGUAAAAGUUUGCAUGGAUGAGAUUAAAUUGAAUAAUACUUUCAUUCCAAAACCAACAAUAUAGAAGUAGCAUUAUUAUUUUAGGACCAUUAUGGCUUUAAUUUGUGCAUAUCUAUUGUACAAGAAUAAAACAGUAUUGAAAGAUUUGACCGGAUCUUAAUCGGGCAAAUUAAAAGAAAAAAAAAUAUUCGAUAUUUUCAAAUUAUACAAACUAUAUUCUACUGAACUUAUUAUGUAAACUACGGAUCAUAAUAUAUACUGAGACUAUAAAUGGAAAAGGAUUCAGUAAUAUAAUAUUGAUUUCAUUAAUUUAGUUAGUGCAUUUCAUAUUGAUUGUGUCAUCCUCCAAAACAUUUCUUCUUCGCCUUCAUUCUCAUUUGUCUAAAUUAUAUAUAUAUAUUUUUGAUAUAAUAUUUUCUACUUAUCUAACAAACAUAAAAAAAAAUAAAAAAUAAGAAACACAUUUGUUUUCUAAAAUACAUUUAUGUUCAUACUGAACACACCCUUUGCUAAUUAUUUAUUUUAAAAUUUUAACCACCGACAUUUAAAAACGUGUAGAGUUGAAAAUAACUUAUUACUUACUAUACUUAUUAGAGACUUUAAAGAAUAGCAUCCAAAUAGUCAUAGUUACUAUGCUAAUUUAGUAUCUAAUUAAUCUUAGAUGUACCAAUAACAUAUAUAAUCAUAAUAAGUACGACUUUCAAAUAAAAAUACUUAAUGCAGAACUAUUAAGAAAUUUUCUUUUCUCACGCACGUGAGAAUAUUGUACGACGUGUCUAUAUAAUUUUAUUAUAAUAUAGUCACCGACUUACUACAUAUAUAACUCAGCAAUAAAUAAACUAGUAGUGACAUUGCUAUAUAGAAGUAAAGGGUUUAACUCAAAAUUCUUCAUUAAAAAAUUUGAUCGAUAUGACUAAUUAUAUUUUUUUUAUGUGAGGCGCAUGUUAAAUUAUUCAAAAAUAUCAAAGUCACACGAGUAUAAGUGGUUUUUGGGUAGGUGGGAAAUUCAUUGCUGGUUUAUUUAUUUAUUUUGGGGAAAGUUGGAAGUUUGUGGUUAGAGUAGAAACUACUCUAAUGAUUAUAUUAUAUUAUAUUUUUAUUUUUAUGUUCGAUAUUCAUAUUGAAAUUCGAUAAAUAUGAUUUUAUAUUCAAGGGCUCAAAUCCGAUACCUCUAUUUAAAUAGUAUUUACCACUUCACCAUAACCCUUAUUGAUAACGAUUAAAAUUGUAUACAACAAUAAUGAAAACUUUAAUACAAUUAAUAUAAUUUGACUUGUAAUAAUAAGUUAGUAAUCAUUUUUUACUAAAUUAUCGAUUAAUGUUAAUACUAAAGAUUUGUCUAUAAUUGUAAUAAUUACUUUCUUUAUGGCUCCAUCCAAUAAUAGUUGUCAAGACUCGAUCAAGAUUAUUAAAAAUACUAUCCCAGUGAAAUUGUUAUUUUACAAAAACAAGAUGAAGCUAUAAUUUUUGUCUUAUUUUAUCUUAAUAAUAAUUGUUCUUAAAAUAAGAUUAGUUUAUAACAUGUUGACCAAAUUUUUGGUAGGCAAAAGUGCUUAUUUUUUCCCCAAAAAAAUAAUUAAAAAAGUGAAGUAUUUGAUCAGGUUUUUAAGAGAAAAUAAAUAAUUUUGAGAAAUAGCAGAAACUUUUUUCAGAAAUUAAAGAAAUAGUUUUUCUAAAAACUACUUUUUUGAAAAAAAUAAUUCAAAAACAACUUAAAAACACUUUUUAAAAAUUUGACCAAUUAUCAAUAAUCAAUUCUCAAAAGUAUCUUCCCUUUAAAUUAAUUAGUGAAACACAAAUUACUUAUAAAAAAAACACUUUUUUGAAAUUGUAUAAUUUUUGGGGAAACAAGCUAUUAAGUAGUAUUGUUCUUUAAUAAAGUACUACAAUUUUCAUUGGAAAGAGAUAAAAAAUAAUAAAAAUAAUUUUUAUUUAUGAUUUUUUUUUAAAAAUGUGACAAUUAAUAUGAGACAUAGGGGAGUAAUUUUUAUGGUAGAGAUUUUUGCAUAAUCAGAAGUUAAUCUUGAUUAGGUUUAUAUGAUAGUAAUUUAAUUUUUUUAAGUGUCCUACACAUGACAUAUGACUUUUAAUAAGGGUAAAUUUGGAAUAUGAAUUUGUGCAGGGACAAAGAAGCGAAUCAGAUUUCACAUUAGUCGGAAAGUCAGAAUGGAGGUUUCUUCCUCUUUACGCGGUCACUACGACUCCUUUUUCACAUUAGACCCCACUAAUUGAAUAUAUUUACACUCUUACCCUCUAUAUAAUAAAAAUGACCUCGACUAAAUUAUACUUGUCCAUUUAAUAAUGAUGUCUUUUCCUUUUUAAUCUCUUGAAUCUUUUCUCCCCCAUCACUCUCAAAUUCUGUCUCAUAUAUUCAUUUUCAUAAUUAUAAAAACCUACAAGAAUAAUAAACGUGUUAUCUUUUUGUUGUAUUCUUUUGAAGAUCGAUCGGAUCGACAAGAAUGAAUCUUCAUUUUCUCAAUUUUUUUGUCAUAAAGGUAAAUCAAGCCCUUUUCGAUUUUUCUAUAAUCGUCUGGUGUGACUCAAUUAAUUCAGAUUCAUAUCGUGUUUGCAGAGUGGAAAAAUCUCAUUCAUCUCAUCAGUCAUCACAACUUUGUGAUUCUUGUUUUUGUUUUCACUUGCUAUAAAUAAAUAUUUAAAAAGUAGAAAGAUAUAAGUAUUAAUUCUUGUUUAUGUUAUUUUAAUUCAUUUUCUACUCACUCCAUUUUUCGCAGAUGAUAUGAAUUUUAAGGAGAGAGAGAGACGAAGGAUUAAAGUUUGAUCUAUAGUGGUUUUGAAAAUACAAGGUGAGAUUUUCUUUAAUUUUUUUGUUUUAAUUUACCUCGUUUUGAGUUUUUGGAUCUUUAUUUCUGUGUUUAAUUAAUUUGUUUAUGAAUUGGAAAAGAUGUUGAGUUUGAUAAGGAAACACAAUAAAUUUUGUGUUGAUCUAAAGAGAUUUUGAUUCACUUACUAACUUUAGAUCUUAAACUACAACAAGUUUCCUCUUUACAUAACUGCCUUCUUUUGCUAUUAUUCUUAAUGGAUUUUGAAAAUUUUAGGAAGAAUUGGUUGUAACAGCAAUUUUCUUACUAAUCACUUCCCUAUUACCUUGAAUAAAAUCAAUUAAAAUACCUCUUAAUUUAUUCUAUUGAUGAUAUAAAUAUAUUUACUUGCCAUGUUUGCUUCAAUGUGACUUUAAUGCCAUGCAUUCUUUAACAUACAUAAUUUUACCAUUUAUAAUUACUCUUCUAUUUAUCAUACUGCAAAAAUGCAUUUUGUUAUAAGUAUAUUUCUCAGAUUUUAGGUCUUUCUUUCUUGUCUAGGGCAAUAGCAAGGCCAAAGAUGUCAUCGUCGAAUUCUCCAUGUGCAGCAUGCAAAUUCUUGCGUAGAAAAUGCACACAAGAAUGCGUUUUUGCUCCAUACUUCCCACCAGAUCAACCUCGAAAAUUCGAAAAUGUACACAAGGUGUUUGGGGCUAGUAAUGUGGCUAAAUUACUCAACGAAUUAAACGCGACUCAACGGGAAGAUGCUGUAAAUUCCCUAGCAUAUGAAGCGGAAUAUCGCCUCCGUGAUCCGGUUUAUGGUUGUGUUGGACUAAUUUCAAUACUUCAACAUAAGCUUAAGCAAGUUCAAGAUGAUUUAUUGAAUGCUAAGAAAGAUUUAGCAACGUAUAUUGGUCCACAAGCAAUGUUGCCAAUGCUUCAGCACUCUGGCUAUAUUCAACAGCAUCCCAAUAAUAAUCCCUCUUCUUCUAAUAUGAUGGCUUAUAAUAUGCAGCCAAUGGGAUUGCAACAACAAUUAAUGAUGCGCGAUCCUCAACAACAACAACAACAACAGAAUCAGCAGCAAGUGAUUGAAGCUCAUCAAUUAGCCGCGGUAAUGGCUGCAAGGGAACAGGAGAUGAUGAGAACUUAUGAGCAAC